CUUUAUUCAAAUGCUUAUCUUUUUAAUGUCAGACAAGUAUGUACUAUUAACUAUAAGUAAGCGAUAAAUCUCGCUGCUUGCGUGACAAACUGUGUAUAAAUGCUAGCCCUGAAAAUAUACUCAUUGAGAACUUGUUAGAGCACUCUUUCGUGUCUGUCGUUAUUUGCUAAACAAGAACUCCCGUCAAUUGAUUUGGUGACCGGAGAAUCGAGAAUCGAG
rnacentral:lncRNA from 1 species